rnacentral:rRNA from 1 species
UACGUAGGGUGCAAGCGUUAAUCGGAAUUACUGGGCGUAAAGCGUGCGCAGGCGGCUUUGCAAGACAGAUGUGAAAUCCCCGGGCUCAACCUGGGAACUGCAUUUGUGACUGCAAGGCUAGAGUACGGCAGAGGGGGAUGGAAUUCGGCGUGUAGCAGUGAAAUGCGUAGAUAUGCGGAGGAACACCAAUGGCGAAGGCAAUCCCCUGGGCCUGUACUGACGCUCAUGCACGAAAGCGUGGGGAGCAAACAGG